UCGGUCUAGUUUCAGAGCAUGAACUUUCAUAACCAGCUUGGUUUCUAUUAAUAUUAUUCAGCGUAUGAAAAGAGUGUAAACAUUCAGUUCAUGUAUCACCUCGUAAUUCCUCCUCCUCGUAAAUUCUACCCCGUCUUCGUCCAACUUCGGUCUAAACCUCGCUAACGCUGCCCCCGUGUUAACUUGGGCCGUAUUGUUUUUCUCGUAUUUCACUGUUUAUGAUAUUGCUCUUGGACACCAUCAUGGAAUCAAAACGUAAAUGUGAAAGUGAUAAUAAAGCAAAGAAAAGUUUUAAGCCUAUUACAUUAGAUGAGGAAAUGAAAGUUCUAGAUAAGUUGCGGGGUGGUAUGAGCACAGCAGUCAGCAUGCAAUUCUGUUGACAUUUUGUUUUUUAGUCUAACUUUCCGUUCACAUUUUGCUUUAAUGCUUAACUUAUCGACUUUACUUUAUUGUGUUUAUUACACAGCCUGUUCAUAAAUAACAAAACAUAAUUAUUUUGACUUUAUACGGCUGUAUCCCCGUAUUUUCAUUAAUCCCAUGCCAUAUUAAGUCCGCCCAACGCGGUUUCACCGAACGCGACGCUUUCGAGUAAUGUAUUACCCGCGUUGGACGAGGGUUUACUGUAUUUCUGCACGCGUUGUACCAAUAAGCGAAGCUGUUAAACACACAUGUUUCUGAAACUGCAAGAGGUUUUCAACGUCAAAGAUUAAUGUACGUAGUUUUAUUAAUCACAUAAAAUUUUGUACACACUGAAAUCCCCAGCCGAGGGUUUAUCCAACACGCAGAUUAGGAUACCGAUUUAUUUCCUCGAUAGCAGUGUUUCCCAAAGUGUGGAACGUGAAAAGUUUCAAGUGGUACGCCACAGUAAAUAAAUUACUAAAAUUGCUUCAGAGUCCUACCUACUUUUAAACGAACACAGACAAAGAAAAUUCAACAAAUUCGUGAAUACUAAUAAAGAAUUAAUUCUCUGGAAUUUCUUACCUUAUCUAACAGCCUUUUUUAGUUCGUACCUAAAGCUUCAACAAAAUGUGGUUUGACCGCUUAGAGUUAACUACUUCUGAUACAGGUUGAUCGAAAAGUCAUGAAACCCAUAUUAAAAUAUUUGUUUAUGAUUGCAAUUCGAAACAAUUCGAUUGGAUUAAUAAACACACAUGUCGGUGUGACUAUACAUGAGCCCACACGGGUCUCGCCAUGUUGUAACCUACUCGCGCCAGUCCGUCAGUUGUCGUUCGACAGUCGAAGUGCAAGACUGGCCUCAAAUGACAUACUGAGUGGAGGCGACAUCUACGCGGCGAACACCUCGCGGACUCUUGGAGCCAGAGGCUUUUAGAGAAGGCGUCGAGGCACGAUGGUUCCUGCUCUGCUUGCACACACGUGAGGGCCCUAAAAGCAGUUUCGAUUGGCACUCCAUGAUUGGGGUUGUGAUCAAAGUGCGCGGAUGCAUGCAUGGAUGAUGCAAGGUCGGGCAAAUCCAUGGAUGGAUUGACGGAUGUGUUUUCGGGUGGAUAGGUUGGUAACUCGGUGGUAAGCUGAAUAACUCUGGUAUCAAGGAAGAUUCUGCGCUGGUAUCUUUGCAUAAUGGAGUGUGUGAACUGCAGACAUGAUGUAUUUCAUAUGCCGAGACGUUAUAAACAAGUCUAUAAAAUCUGUAUGAAACGCGAUGGUGUGUUGGAGGCAAAGUUGCGCGUCUGAGGACUUCAGUAUAUUACACCCGAAUACUACGACAAAUGUUAUUCAGAGUUGGAAACUAAAUUGUAUUACUGAUAAUAAAAAUAUAAGGUAGAAGAACUAAAAAGAAAGGUCUCCAGUUUUAUCAGACCUCUUCCUUACUCACUGAAAUGAAGGAUUACUGUGGAAACGUUAAAAAUUUUCUGAAUUACUUUUCUGCAUAAGUUAGAUAACGUACGCAUGCUUAAGCAACCAUUUAUUAUAGAGUUGAGGACGGGUGAAAUAGAACCUAUUUUCAUUUUCUAUCUCAGAAAUGAAUGAAGUAGAUAAACUUUAAUGAAGCCGUACGGUGACCUGAUAAUAAAGUUUAAUUAACACUGCAAGAGCUUCUGAUGACAAUAUGGCCAUUUCAGUUUUGUUUGAACGCAAUCUGGCACCGUUAUGAUCGUGUGUGUCACAAGCGACUGGAAAACAGCUGAUACCAUUUUUCAUGCAGUCACUUGAAUGCGAGUGACAUUGCCACGUGUUUGCUAACAUAAAUAAAUUCCUAUUACUAUGAUUAAUGAUUUAUACAUUUGGUCCACUUCAAAGCAUCAAAGUGACGCCACAGGCAGCAAUGGGUUUUAGCAUUCAGUAUAACAUCUAAAUUCUUCCUUAAUUUAAACAAUUUUCAAAGUUCGCAUUCAUAAAGUAGGUAAGAUUUCGUGGUUCUGUUCAACGAUAAUAACAUAUUUGCGUGAAUGAUUUAAACUAUAUAGGGAACGAAACUUGGCAACGCCUUGAACUUCUAUACUUAUAUUUUUUAAGCUUCGCGAAGAUGGCAAAUGGCUGCAUAUGAGAAUCGUAUUUUUGUAACAACCCUUAACUAUUUUUAUCCAAAUAAUAUUUAAAAAGUCAGGUCCAAAUUCAUCGAAAAACACAACGCUUCUCCAUUACGAAUCGUAUGAUCGGUUAAUGCUGUUUAUGGACAUAAUCUCUACCAAUUUUGGGAUCAUACAAAACCCAGCAAUAAACUCUGCAGAUAAAAUGCAUAACUGGGUGGUACAAAAAGUUACCAAUGUGAUUUAAAAUCUUAAAGGUUAGCACAAGAAAGAGGUGGAUUCCUUCUAAAACUUUUUUCCCUGCAAAGAGCCUACCUAAAACGACAAAACAUAUAUCCCAUUCGUAUUAAGGCUCACUGUUCAUACCUUCAGAAUACAGCAACUUCUAAUCAUACUUGGACUUUCUGACAAGACUAACAGUGAAAUCGUUCGUAUUAAGUUUAGUGAUUGUUCACAGACAACCAACCGACUUAACAAAAGAAUCACGCAAUAAAUGUAAAGUCUUAAAUAUUUAACUGUAAAUGUAAAUCUGUUCAAACACUAAAUUAAGCAUAUAAGCUUGAAUAGUCGCUGGAAUUACAAGUAGGCGACUUUUCUUGGGAACAGUAAGAAAUAUGAACAUUGAGCGCAAAGCCUCUAUUCCGAGACCGCAGUCUGAUUUUGGUAGACGUGUACCACUUGGGUCGUUGGCCUUUCAAAACGAUGUGACACUGGGUUCGAGAUUUCAGAAAGCAGUUAAUUUAUUGGUGAAGUCAAAUUGUUUAUAAGAUUAUUUUCGUCAAACCCUUAAAUUAAUGAACAGGUAUAAUGUUUCUUAACAGCAGUAAGUAAAAUUGCACUGUUACACGCUAUGGAGGCGCUUGGGGGAGAGUAGUUCAGCUCCUACUCGCUCUUCAAGUCGGAACUAGAUGGGAUGUGAAUAGUCAGUGUCACGCUCCGGCAAAGAUACCCAGGUUAUGUAUCCCGAUUCGUGACCUACCUUGCAGAGGCGUGGGGUGAACAUCGGAUGAGACUUCCUGCGAGGUCGGCGUCAGAGCACCACUGACCGUGACGUCAGCAGUGCUGUGUCUUCCUGCCACAGGGUUGAGAACAAUAUGCACCUUGAAUGAAGAAGAUUGACUUGGCGUAUGUAACAUGAUGCAAGAACGGAAAUGUGUGCUGCAGUCUAAGCGCAAAGCGCAUCCUCAUUGGUCAUAAUGGUCUAGAGUUGUCAACAAAUUCAGUCCUCACUCAGUAUGGCCAAAAAUAUUUGUUCUUGUGACAACAACGGAGCGAGUGCGCCAGAACUAUGUGUACGUUUUCUAACGGGUUCUGUGUUGUGCUGUCCUACGCAGUACAGCAUUUGCAAUGGGCCGAUUCCCCAUCCAAGGAGUCCUCAUAGUUUCAGAUAAAUGUCAACUAAAUUGAAACAGGCCACAAGGCAGAAGUUGCAGAUUACGACGAAGAAAAUUUUUUGUUAUAUCUGUUCAGAGAAAUAAAAUAUUAUGCGUAAAUGGACUGACCCACGUAACGUCUCAAAGAAAUAUUUUACCUUAAAACGAACGCUGUCCUGUUCAGGUUUAUGCAACGUAGAUGGUGUCCUCUCGUCUUCAUUUUCUUCAGUCAAUUCAGGCAGAGUGGCGUUGUCUCUCUUCAGUGACAUUUCUUCUAGUGACCAGUAGCCCAAGCGUAGCACUCUCGAACUAAGAACACCGACACAAUAGUCGUACGUAAUCAGUAUGUUAAGUGGUUUCAUGCAAACUAAUGAAAAGACAGAACCCCCUUGUGUGACGCAUGCGCCAUACAGAUACAACAAGAAAUAACUGAUUUAUAUCCGGUAAAGAGCGAAGUUAAUUGCUCUGGACAGCAUAUUGCUGCAACUUCAAUAUAAUACGUACACAGAAAGUGCGGGGGCCAGUUGGCAUGAUAACAAGUAGGUCAUCAAGUCUGUUUGUUAUUACAUUGUCACGUUUUAAAUUAAAAUGCGGACCAAUCAGUUACAGUUGUCUCUCACUCCAGGAUGUGAUUUUACUGUGAAGACUAUGUACAAUCUAGUGGAUCUCAUCCCGAAAUUCCUGAGGCGUGAAAAAUAUCUUAAGCUCAUAGACUGGUGAUUUAAGACGCUAAAGUCAUGGGUUGGAAUCCCGCUCGGUACAUAAAUGUCGGUCCUCCUUUUAAGAGUUGUCCUGUGUUGGUACACGCCUGGCAAUGGGCUGAUCCCUCACGCAGGGCUUCCUAAUGGUGAGUAAAUAAAUAUACAAAAUGUUGCCGACAAUAAUAAUUUACUGAGACAAAACAUACCGCAAAGACAAAAUCAAAAUAAACGUGGCAGCCAAAUCAGGAUUGAGUAGAAAUUGUGCAGAGUCAGUGGGCUGGUCACUCACUACUUCACGACCAAUACCAAGAAACCUCCGAAUAGGAGGCGGUGGAAACCCACAACAGGGUUGCAGAGCCGAGAAACAACAACAACAACAAACGUGAACAAAGCUGUGUAUAUAUUCAUGUCUUGUCAUCAUAUUGCACAACAAAAUCGCAAAUACAAAGACAACUAACAAACCCUUCCCAAACGAGUCGAAAUUUAAAUGUCUGGAAGCAAAUGUAACAAAUUCAAAUUACAUUCACGGAGAGCAGAUUCAAUCCAGGGAAUUUUUGCAACCAUUCAUUCCAUAUUUUGAUAUCUUUCUGUUUCCCACAUAAAUAACAAAAGUUGAAAAUAAUUGUACCUGUUGUUUUUAACUUCAUCUCACCACAGACCGAGUAUUUGGAUGUAAGAAAGGGAGAGUAAGGAUGUUUAUAAUGAGACAAGCUGUAAGAUCUGUACUCCUCACAAACUAUUAGCCUACUAGAGUGAUCAAAUCAAAGAGGACGAGAUAAGUGAAAUGAGUAGAACGUGUAUCAAAUUGAGAAACGUGAAAAAGUGCUGAAUUGGAAACCAGUUACCUUCCUGUGGAGAACGCCGGUUAUGAAAAUUAAGUUACCCAUUCACUGCCCCUGAACAGAGUCAGCAGACAGGUCACCAGACGUCUGCACUACUAAACUGUCAUUUGGAAUAUAGUCUGUGUGCAUUUCUCGAGACACUCCCAUAUAAAAUUAAAAGUCAAAGAGUCAAUAUGAAUGUCAUGUGUGUGUGUAUAUAUCAAGAAUUAUCAUUACUAAAUAGUAAAGCUCUAGUUACAAAAUGCAGAGGUUAAUGAAAGGCGUAGGUUACAGGAAUUUUAACGCUUUAAGGUUUUUCUUACCCCCAGAUGCCACCACUCUAUGAGAUGCUUGCUUAUUUUACAACAAAUUCUAUAUUGUUUUCUAUUAUCAGCAUUGCUUUACAUUCUGUAUGGGAAGCAACCUCUAGAGUGAUUAAAUAAGAUACAAUACAAAUUUGUUUUCAGACCUUAGUUAAUUUAUUGCAGUAGAGGUCUUGUGACCAUGGUAGGAACACACACACCAUGCCUUGGUACAAGCCAAACCCUGGUCAACCAGUCCUGCCAAAUGUCAAAGAUUCAGAAAGCUAGCAGAAAUUUCCCCAUAAAACCAAGACCCAUAUCAGUCUAUAGUUGUGUUGUGGUAUGAAUAGUUCGUUCAUUCUAUUAUGUACAAACCUAUAACUGGAGUUUCAAACAUUAUAUUUCCUAUGUUGACAGGCAUCGGAAUCUUUAAAAUUUACAGAAAACAAGUUAUACAACAUCUGGAGAUUUAUUAGAUGUAACUCCAUAAAUUAGACUGUUUCUUGAGAAGCUGACAGUCACUAAGAUGUUCAAACAAUUCCAUAAUUUUAUUGAAUACAAUAUGUUCACAAUAGCCUGCCACUAGACUCUACCUAAAACCAGUUGAAUUCAAUCCAAAAUGUAUUUCCACAAGAUACAUUUCAAUAUUAUAUAAGAAAAUACAAAAAUAACAAAUGCUGUAGCAUUAAUCUAAGAAAUCUUUUUGCUAUCAUGAAAAUGAUAAUGAACUGUUUAUUAAUAUCCAUUAAAACAAAGUGAAAAGAUGGGAAAUUGUGUCACGUAUUAGCUUAUAAAAGAGCAUCAACAAUAUUCAACAUACAUAUUUAAUGUCUCAUUAAUAUAUACACUAUACACAAAUUACACAAUUACACUGUCAUACUUAAAAUAUUCAUAAUUCACAAACACACACACUUUCUCUGAAAUGACUGCACUGACUUGAAGCUUUGGGAAUCAUUUUAUUUGCAAGCAGCAGUGUCCUUGAAAACUAUGUCAACAAGUCAGGGAAGAUUUCAGCCACUGAAAUACAAAUAAAAAUCCUUAACCAGUGACAUAAUCCCGACUGCCUUUCCCAACAUUUCAUUUUUCCAUAUUUAUAAAUUGAUAAUACCAUUUCUUGUAUGACAUACCGAACCAUAAAUUGCACAUUUAUUUAUAGUAGAAAAGACAAAUUCACUUUACCUCUGCAAGACUUUGUUUUAUACUCCCAUUCUGUAGUGGAUCCUUUGAUUCAAAUAAAUCUGUUGACAAAAAUUGUAAUAUUAAUGUAAUGAAUUUGAACAAAUAACUAGUCUAACUGAGAUUUAACAUUGUUAAUGGCUUCUUUUUAAUUAACCCCUUCUCAAAAUUGAAGUGCAGGAAUUCAUAGUAAUGAGCAAAUUACGGCUGACUUUCAUGUCUUCCUGCUAAUUUUACCGAGUUCAUUAUGAAAGCAGAUCACACAUUACUUACUGAAUGCAACACUGAGAUGUAAAAUGGCAGACACAAAAUCCCCAAAACGAAGUGUUCCAUCUUUCCUCAUGUAGCGAAGAAUGAGAAUUGAAAGUACAUCUGUACUCAACUGGAAACCUGAAACAAUGUAAAUGAAUUGCAUGAUAAUAUAUUUUCUAGAAUAAGGAGAUGAUAAGAAGUAAAUUAAUACAAAGGAAUGUAAUAUUAUAAAUGUAGCCAUGAAAGUCAAAGAUCUCUAAGAUAUAUUAACUUGGCACAUGUAACAAAAUUAUAAGACUUGUCUUCUUCUAAGUGUAAGUCAGCAUAAAAAGGUAAAGGCUGAAAUGCAAUGGACUGGAAGCUCCUGAUUAUAUCCUUAAAAAUAAUUUGAAUAUGACAGUGAUGUUGUAUUUAAUGUAUAAAAUUUGGUAACAAAUUAUAGUAACUGAAAACUUUGAGUUCAUACAGCAAAAUAAAUCAACUUCAAGGAUGAACAGAGUACUAAUGUGACACUAAUGUGCUGUUUUAUUGAAAUAUGUAAUUGUAAGCAAACUUCUCAAUGAAAGAAUUAAAAUAAUCCAAAUGCUAUCAUC